rnacentral:rRNA from 1 species
AGAUUGAACGCUGGCGGUAUGCUUAACACAUGCAAGUCGAACGGCAGCACAGGGUAGCUUGCUAUCCGGGUGGCGAGUGGCGGACGGGUGAGUAACGCGUAGGAAUCUACCUUUUUGUGGGGGAUAACCCGGGGAAACUCGGGCUAAUACCGCAUACGCCCUACGGGGGAAAGCGGGGACCUUUGGGCCUCGCGCAAAAAGAUGAGCCUGCGUCCUAUCAGGUAGUUGGUGAGGUAAUGGCUCACCAAGCCGACGACGGGUAGCUGGUCUGAGAGGACGACCAGCCACACUGGGACUGAGACACGGCCCAGACUCCUACGGGAGGCAGCAGUGGGAAUAGUUGGACAAGUGGGGGCAACCCGUGAACUCCAGCAAGUACCGCGUCGGUGUAGAAGAAGGCCGUUCGGGUUAGUUAAA